rnacentral:rRNA from 1 species
AGAUUGAACGCUGGCGGCGUGCCUAACACAUGCAAGUCGAGCGGUAACAGGUGUAGCAAUACAUGCUGACGAGCGGCGAACGGGUGAGUAAUGCUUCGGAAUCUACCCUCUAGUGGGGAAUAACCAGCCGAAAGGUUGGCUAAUACCGCAUACGUCCUACGGGAGAAAGCAGGGGAUCGUAAGACCUUGCGCUGAUGGAUGAGCCGAAGUCGGAUUAGCUAGUUGGUGGGGUAACGGCUCACCAAGGCGACGAUCCGUAGCUGGUCUGAGAGGACGACCAGCCACACUGGAACUGAGACACGGUCCAGACUCCUACGGGAGGCAGCAGUGGGGAAUAUUGGACAAUGGGGGAAACCCUGAUCCAGCGACGCCGCGUGUGUGAAGAAGGCCUGCGGGUUGUAAAGCACUUUUAGUGGGAUGAAAUGUGCAGGGUUAAUACCUCUGCUAUUUUGACCUUAACCCACAAGAAAAGCACCGGCUAACUCUGCGCCAGCAG